GGUAAGCUCAGUGGUAGAGUGCUUGCUUAGCAUGCAUGAGGCCCCGGGUUCAAUCCCUAGUACCG
rnacentral:tRNA from 1 species